ACUUGUCUCACCAAAUAUUUCCAAGUUGAAAUGAGGAAGGUAUGAUGCAUAAAAAGCCUUGAGACGAGAUAACCCUUUUGGAGAUAUAAAUAUCAGUACUCGUAAACAAAGGAACAACAUGGCUAAUACUAAGUAAGUUUCCCUUUUCAUCAUCUCCUCCAAGGAAGACCCAUCCCAUUGCUGCAAGAUUGAUUCUUCACAACUACCCAAACUUGUUGGCUCGUCUUCAGCAAAAUACUGAACUGGU
rnacentral:misc_RNA from 1 species